rnacentral:rRNA from 1 species
GUCUUUUUGAUUAAUAAUUUAAAGUCUAAUCUGCCCACUGAUAUAAUAUUAAAGGGCUGCAGUAUUUUGACUGUACAAAGGUAGCAUAAUCAUUAGUCUCUUAAUUGGUGACUUGUAUGAAAGAUUUGAUGAAAUAUAUACUGUCUCUAUUUAAUUUGUAAAAUUUAAUUUUUUAGUUAAAAAGCUAAAAUAUAUUUAAAAGACGAGAAGACCCUAUAGAGUUUUAUAUUUAAUUAAAUUAAAAUUUUUUAUAAGAUUUAAAAUUUUGAUAUGUUUAAAUAUUAUGUUGGGGUGACAAAAAAAUUUAAAUAACUUUUUUUAUAGGUUAACAUUUAUUAAUGAAUAUAUGAUCCGUAAUUUACGAUUAUAAGAAAAAAUUACCUUAGGGAUAACAGCGUAAUUUUUUUUUUUAGUUCAAAUAAGAAUUAAAGUUUGCGACCUCGAUGUUGGAUUAAGAUAAAAUUUAAAUGCAAAAGUUUAAAAUUUUUGAUCUGUUCGAUCAUUAAAAUCUUACA